rnacentral:rRNA from 1 species
AGAGUGAACGCUGGCGGCAGGCCUAACACAUGCAAGUCGAGCGGCAGCACAGCAGUAGCAAUACUGUGGGUGGCGAGCGGCGGACGGGUGAGGAACACAUCGGAAUCUACCUUCUUGUGGGGGAUAACGUAGGGAAACUUACGCUAAUACCGCAUAAGACCUGAGGGUGAAAGCGGGGGACCGCAAGGCCUCGCGCGAGAAGAUGAGCCGAUGUCCGAUUAGCUAGUUGGUGAGGUAAAGGCUCACCAAGGCGACGAUCGGUAGCUGGUCUGAGAGGAUGAUCAGCCACACUGGAACUGAGACACGGUCCAGACUCCGUACGGGAGCAGCGAGGUGGGGAAUAGUGGACAAGUCGGGCGCAAGCCUAGACUCCAGCCAUCGGCCGACGUGUGGUAGAAACGGUAGGUCCCGUUAGGGUU